rnacentral:piRNA from 1 species
UUGUCUGUCCUGGUACCUUUGAAUU